rnacentral:rRNA from 1 species
UGGGGAAUAUUGCACAAUGGGCGCAAGCCUGAUGCAGCCAUGCCGCGUGUAUGAAGAAGGCCUUCGGGUUGUAAAGUACUUUCAGCGGGGAGGAAUGGAGUAAAGUUAAUACCUUUGCUCAUUGACGUUACCCGCAGAAGAAGCACCGGCUAACUCCGUGCCAGCAGCCGCGGUAAUACGGAGGGUGCAAGCGUUAAUCGGAAUUACUGGGCGUAAAGCGCACGCAGGCGGUCUGUCAAGUCGGAUGUGAAAUCCCCGGGCUCAACCUGGGAACUGCAUACGAAACUGGCAGGCUAGAGUCUUGUAGAGGGGGGUAGAAUUCCAGGUGUAGCGGUGAAAUGCGUAGAGAUCUGGAGGAAUAACGGUGGCGAAGGCGGCCCCCUGGACAAAGACUGACGCUCAGGUGCGAAAGCGUGGGGAGCAAACAGG